rnacentral:lncRNA from 1 species
UAGCCGGACCCACGAAACGAUAAGCGUUUGGAUUGGGUGGAGAUCAGACGGUGGCAGAGCCGCGGAGGUGAGGUGCGAUGAUCGGCGGAUCGAUGGUGAGGAUGUUCUCAGCAGAGAAUGCAUAGUAUAUGGGUUCUUGGGGCUUGAGGAAUUCGGACACAGAAAUGUGGAUUGUUGAGAGAGAGGACUAUAUAUGCAUGCUUUUUAGAGAGGGGAGGAGAGGGGGAGAGAGAGAGAGAAGGGGGUCGAUUGGGUGGUUGGGGUUUGGUUGAGGGAGAAGGCGGUGGCGAUCGGCGG